UGCAAUUUUUUGUCCAAGGCUUCCCACACUUGUAACCUAGGGAAAGAGGGCCCCAGACAGACUGGGACUCACCCCCAGGGAAGACCCGCAGCCCUUAUAAUCAUGCUGCGUGCAUGUGUUUGAGCUGAUAAUGACAGGAACUAGAGCAGCUCAUUAGCAGCCUUCUGCAGGGCUGAGCGCUCACCUUCGCGUUAUCUAUCAGAUGCAGUAUUUCAGUGCGGCUGGAAGGAUUCAGGUACCCUGGGACAGAUGUGAGUUGGCCUAAAUACUUCACUUCCUUCUCGAUGUAGUCGUUCAGCAGGAUGUCUGGCUCGACGCGGUCAGGCAGUGACACCACGACGGUAUGGAGAGGUCGUCUCUCUGUAACCUUCUCCUGGGCCUUUUUGUCUCGUCCUUUUUCACCCUUCAGGAAGACUCGCUUGAAAGGGGACACGAUUCCAGGCUUUUUGCCUUUCUUGCCCUCCUCCUCCAUGGCUCCGGGAGCGGCGGCUGCAGCGGCGGCCCCGGCCCCCUCCGGGGCAUCCCCGCAGCGGCCCUGGGGCGGCGGGGUGAGGCUGCGCGGGGCCGGAAGGCGACAGAGCAGCCCCAGGCGGCGGUUGGACCCCGGGCCGCCUCAGCGCCGCCAACCACUUUUCAAUCCUGCCGCCAUCUUGGGCGGCGGCUUCCCGGCGUGCGCCGCGCG
rnacentral:lncRNA from 1 species